GGUCGCGUGGCGAAAUGGCAUCGCGUCUGACUACGAUUUAGCAUCGUUCUCAUCAGGAGAUCGCGGGUUCGACCCCCGUCGUGACCU
rfam:Trichosporon oleaginosus strain IBC0246 unplaced genomic scaffold CC85scaffold_71, whole genome shotgun sequence.